rnacentral:misc_RNA from 1 species
GAGAGAGAGAGAGAGAGAGGCAAUGGGCCGAAAAUACUCUGGACGGCAUUAAUCAUGUUUGGUGGGCCACCGUCUCAGGUUCAUUGCCAAGUGGUUGCGCGUGGGCUCCACGCUUCCGAGUUGCAAUAUUAAUGUUCAAAGUGAAAGUAAGGCUGCCGUGUCGAUUCUUAAGUAUGAAAUGUUUGACAACUUUUUAUCUGAUUUAUAAAGUAAAUUUACAUUUAGAAAUGAUAUAUAGCAAUGUGAAUAAAAAAAAAAAUCUCAAUAGAGAGAGAAUUUUCUUCAAUCUGUUUCUUUAGAGUUGACUUCAAAAGCG